UUGAGAAAGAGAGUUGCAUAUGGGAUUAGAUUUCGGUCACAUUUCUGCGCGCACAAGAUCACAUUUUGAGCGUGCAAAAGGCAUUUCGCACACGCGUGAACUAAGUUUUGAGGAGAAAUGUGCGUCUCGCAGAUAAGAAAAUAUUUUGAGAGAACAAAAAUUUAUUUUGCAUUUAAAAUAAGUAUUUGGAUGUGCGCAGACGUUCCCUUUCGCAUGCGCAACGUUUCACUUUCUUGCUCCUCUCAUACCAGCCCUGUGCGCUCUCAAGUGCAGACGGUUCGCGUGCUCAACACAAACCAGCGUUACAAUAUGCCAUAAUUCCAGCCAAUCAGAGAUGAGGCUGCUAAAUUCUGAUUGGCUGGCUGGACAACCAAUCACAAGACUCCCUGCAUCACCGACGGCGGAAGAGAAAAAAUACAUGGUGGAAGAGAUAUUUGUUUAAUGGCUUGAAAACUUCAAUUUAAGUUUAAAUGUCAACCACUCGACGACCACACGGAGGUUGUCACAUCCGGGAGUUUCGAUUUGCACAGAGGGAGGAGCAAACUGGCGAGAGGAGAGCGAACUACGAAAACAACAAUGGCAAUAGAAAAUCAACAGAUUCUUAUCUGAAUUCAGAUUCAGAAAGACAAAAUAGGAACAGUUCUUGGAGUGAAGUAGGUGGACAUAAUGGAUGAUUCUUCGGAUGAAGAUAAUCAAGAAAUGGAAUUCCAUGAAAGAAGACAUUUCUGUCACUAAGAAAGUGGAUGGUGAGCAAAGGUGGUGGCAGCACCUUUUCGUUUUGGAGCAGCACCUGGGUUUUGCAGAUGGCUAUGUAUUCUUUGGCUGCUUGUCUUUUUUCCCCAUUAUGUUUCUGUUGCCUAAAGAUUCUUUGUGAGGAUAAAUCCAGAGGACACAUCAUAAUGCACUGCAAAAUGUCCUAAGACAGGAGAAAUGGUGAAGAUGCACUGUUCCAGCAUUG